AUUGAACGCUGGCGGCAUGCUUUACACAUGCAAGUCGAACGGUAACAGGCCUUCGGGUGCUGACGAGUGGCGAACGGGUGAGUAAUGCAUCGGAACGUACCCAGAGGUGGGGGUUAACGCAGCGAAAGCGGUGCUAAUACCGAAGGGGAUCUGAGGAUGAAAGCGGGGGACCGAGAAGAAAGGUUUGGCCUCGCGCCUUUGGAGCGGCCGAUGUCGGAUUAGCUAGUUGGUGGGGUAAAGGCCUACCAAGGCGACGAUCCGUAGCUGGUCUGAGAGGACGACCAGCCACACUGGGACUGAGACACGGCCCAGACUCCUACGGGAGGCAGCAGUGGGGAAUUUUGGACAAAGGGCGCAAGCCUGAUCCAGCAAUGCCGCGUGCGGGAAGAAGGCCUUCGGGUUGUAAACCGCUUUUGGCAGGAACGAAACGGUGUCCGCUAAUACCGGGCGCUAAUGACGGUACCUGCAGAAUAAGCACCGGCUAACUACGUG
rnacentral:rRNA from 1 species